GCCAUUUGUACAAAGUCACCGCUGUUUUAAAAUCCCAGGGCUACGAUUGGAGUGAGCCCUUCAGCCCCGGGGAAGAUGAAUUUAAGUGCCCCAUUAAGGAAGAGAUUGCUCUGACCAGUGGUGAAUGGGAGGUUUUGGCGAGGCACGGCUCCAAGAUCUGGGUCAAUGAGGAGACCAAGCUGGUGUACUUCCAGGGCACCAAGGACACGCCGCUGGAGCACCACCUCUACGUGGUCAGCUAUGAGGCGGCCGGCGAGAUCGUACGCCUCACCACGCCCGGCUUCUCCCACAGCUGCUCCAUGAGCCAGAACUUCGACAUGUUCGUCAGCCACUACAGCAGCGUGAGCACGCCGCCCUGCGUGCACGUCUACAAGCUGAGCGGCCCCGACGACGACCCCCUGCACAAGCAGCCCCGCUUCUGGGCUAGCAUGAUGGAGGCAGCCAGUGAGUAGCCCCUGCCCCGCCCCACGGGAGCCUCUGCCCACCCGGCUGUAAAACGGGACAAGGGCCCCAUUCUGGGGUAAGAGGCAGAGGCCUGGAGCCGGCCUGCUUGGCCUCCCACAGCACCCAGGCCCCUCCAGACAUCCGGGAACUCAUCAUAGGACAUAAGCCGCAGCCCCUGCCGUCCGAGACGGUCCUGGGUCCGAGCUGCAGUAAAGGUCCGGACUGCACAGAACCCGGCAGGGAUGCAGCUCCGUGCCAACCCCCUGCCAAAAUGGUAACCAAUGAGACACAGACCCUGUCACUGAGAGCUCCCAGGGUAGUGGGCAGGUGACAAGUAAACAUUUUCAUCAGCGGGCACAGUGGCUCCUGCCUGUAAUCCCAAUGCUUUGGGAGGCCAAGGCAGGAGGAUUGCUUGAGCCUAGGAGUUUGAGACCAGCCUGAGCAACAUAGUAAGAACCCCCUCUA
rnacentral:sRNA from 1 species